rnacentral:sRNA from 1 species
AAAUAAAUAAUAAAUUACCAUAAACCAUUAACUUACCUUAAUUAUUAAGUGGACAUGUAGCAAAAGCUAAGUGAUGAUGUGUCAUUCAUAUAAAGAGAGUUUGCCAACUUUCAUAUAUAUGAUUUUUGUGGUUAAAAUUGUAUGACUCUAUAACUUUAAGACCAUGAGGCCAAACUUGGCAUGUGAUACAUUUUCGCAACGCCCAAAGGGAGCCCUCCGACUAAAUAAGGAACAAUGGGUUGAGGUACAUUUUUUUUUCUUACUCCAAAUUUUGACCUUUAGGUGCUUUUUCGGGUCUGUCUGUGAUCUGUGCUAUAUUACAAGUCCAAAAUUAUUUGUUUGGACAUUCU